GUGGUGCUGGUGAUGGAGAACCGGUCGUUUGACCACAUGCUGGGGUGGCUCCGGAGCAAGGGCGGCCGCACGGACAUCGACGGCCUCACCGGUCGCGAGUCCAACCACGUCAAGGCGUCUGACCCCUCCUCCCCUGAGGUCUUUGUCUCCGACGGCGCCGCCUACGUCGACUACGACCCCGGCCACUCCUUCCAGGCUAUCCGCGAGCAGAUAUUCGGCUCCGAUGACUCCUCUGCGGUUCCCGCCCCCAUGAGCGGCUUUGCCCAGCAGGCCGAGAGCAUGGGUGAGGGCGUGGCCGGCACCGUCAUGCGGGGUUUCGCCCCCGAGGCUGUCCCCGUCUACUCCGCUCUCGCGGAGGAGUUCGCGGUGUGCGAUAGGUGGUUCGCCUCCGUCCCGGCCUCCACCCAGCCCAAUCGCUUCUACGUCCACUCCGCCACCUCCCACGGCGCCACCAGCAACGUGCGCAGGGACCUCAUCCACGGCUUCCCCCAGAAGACCAUAUUCGAUUCCCUCGAUGAGGAUGGUCUCAGUUUCGGCGUCUACUACCAGAACAUCCCCGCCGUGCUCUUCUUCAAGAGCCUGCGUAAGCUGAAGCACCUCGUCAAGUUCCACAGCUACAAGCUCGCCUUCAAGCUGCACGCCAAGCAGGGCCGGCUGCCUAACUACGUGGUCAUCGAACAACACUACUUCGACGUGAAGCUCUCCCCGGCCAACGACGAUCACCCAUCCCACGACGUCGCCAGGGGUCAGAGGCUCGUGAAGGAGAUCUACGAGACGCUCCGGGCGAGCCCGC
rnacentral:lncRNA from 1 species